rnacentral:rRNA from 1 species
UCGGGAAUUUUGCGCAAUGGCCGAAAGGCUGACGCAGCAACGCCGCGUGGGUGACGAAGGCCUUCGGGUUGUAAAGCCCUGUUGCUUGUGAAGAAUGGCCUCGGGAGGAAAUGCCCGGGGAUUGACGGUAGCAAGUGAGGAAGCCACGGCUAACUACGUGCCAGCAGCCGCGGUAAUACGUAGGUGGCGAGCGUUGUCCGGAAUUAUUGGGCGUAAAGGGCGUGUAGGCGGUCUGGUCAGUGAGGAGUGAAAGACCACGGCUUAACCGUGGGGGUGCUUCUCAUACUGCUGGACUUGAGGGUGCUAGAGGGCAGUGGAAUUCCCGGUGUAGCAGUGAAAUGCGUAGAGAUCGGGAGGAACACCAGUGGCGAAGGCGACUGCCUGGGGCACACCUGACGCUGAGGCGCGAAAGCUGGGGGAGCAAACGGG